rnacentral:rRNA from 1 species
GUAGUCCACGCCCUAAACGAUGAAUACUAGACGUUGGAUGUAAAAAUUCAGUGUCGCAGCUAACGCAUUAAGUAUUCCACCUGGGGAGUACGAUCGCAAGGUUGAAACUCAAAGGAAUUGACGGGGGCCCGCACAAGCAGUGGAGCAUGUGGUUCAAUUCGAUGCAACGCGAAGAACCUUACCUGGGCUUGAAACGCAGAUUAAGGGGAAUGAAAGUUCCCGUGCCGCAAGGCGAAUCUGUACAGGUGCUGCAUGGCUGUCGUCAGCUCGUGCCGUGAGGUGUUGGGUUAAGUCCCGCAACGAGCGCAACCCUUGUUUCUAGUUGCUACCGGAUAAUGCCGGGCACUCUAGAAAGACUGCCUACGCAAGUAGUGA